AAAUUUAAACCAUAUUUUAAUUUAUUCUUUGACCUUAAUUCUGAAUUGCGAUAUGAAUUCACAUUUAAAUUAACAUUAAAAUUUAAAUUUAAAUCACAAUUCGAACUAAACAUUCAAAUUCAUAAUUUGAAUUCAAAAUUCAAACUGAAACUCAUUAUUAAAAUUAAAUCUAAAUCAUAAAUUUAAAUUUUAUUUUAAGAAUUA
rnacentral:lncRNA from 1 species